rnacentral:rRNA from 1 species
UACGUAGGGGGCAAGCGUUGUCCGGAAUCAUUGGGCGUAAAGCGCGUGUAGGCGGUUACGUAAGUCUGCUGUGAAAGUCGGAGGCUCAACCUUCGAAAGCCGGUGGAUACUGCGUGACUAGAGUACGGAAGAGGAGAGUGGAAUUCCUGGUGUAGCGGUGAAAUGCGCAGAUAUCAGGAGGAACACCAACGGCGAAGGCAGCUCUCUGGGACGUUACUGACGCUGAGACGCGAAAGCGUGGGGAGCAGACAGG